rnacentral:lncRNA from 1 species
AUGUGUGGUGGACGGACUCCAUUGGAGGAGACAUCUUCAAUCAGAGCCACAGCCGUAUCGGCCUGGACAGCAGGGGGCGCUAUGAGGUCCACAGCUCCAUGGAGGUCAGUCCAAACAGUACUCACCAUCAUUGUUGAAAUGAGACUAGAGGUUCUCAAUCAAACCUUCACCCGCUCGCUCACCCUCCACCCACUUCCAGAAUGCUGUGAGGUGCCUCUUGCAACCAGGGGCAGACCGGCUUUGGUGUUAUUAGGGAUAGUUCUCUUAGCAGCAUUAGCAAUGCCACUCAUUUUGUACUUCAGACGCAAGCCUGAAGCACACCGACACCAGAUGGUCCCACAUGACGACACAACAGGACAAGACGAGGCUCAUGAAACAGAAAUUUGAUAAAAACUAGUUACAAAAGUCUAAGCUGUGUUUCAAUGUCACAAAUAUAGGUGUGUGUGUGUGUGUUGUUGCCUUAUUAAAUAUUUCCAAUCCCUCUUGGUAAAGUAUUAUAGAGUACUGCUGGAAGGAGACUUUGCUACUCCCUGCAACCCUACGUAAUCCAGCCUACUUAGAUUAUUUUGCGAUGCAAAGCUGUCAAGGCAAAGGGUGGCUACUUUGAAGAAUCUAAAAUAUAUAAAUAUAUUUUGAUUUCUUUAACACUUUUUUUGUGGUUCUACAUGAUUCCAUAUGUGUUAUUUCAUAGUUUUGAUGUCUUCACUAUUAUUUCACAAUGUAGAAAAUAGUAAAAAAAAAGGAAAACCCCUGAAUGAGUAAGUGUGUCCAAACUUUUGACUGGUACUGUACAUUUUGUCCAAUGUUAUUGUCAAAGGUGGCCUGGUAACAACAACUGUGGGAAAAGUACUAUCCACCUUACAGUUGGACUGGUUGAAAAGUUGAUCCUACACCACGAGGUGGAUGGAACGUCUGGGGCAUAUUAUAGAAAUAUUUCAAAUUUCAUGGCACUUGGAGUCACUCUGUGAGACAGUUCAUUACAUUAACUAUUUACCGUUGCUGCAAAACUUGAAUGUGCAUUGUCACUUAGAUAAGGAAUGACAUACAACCCUAGUGAUAGCAGUUAAAAAAGAUGCCCUUUGACACCAUCACCCUCAGAGCUAAAGUGUGAAACUUUACUUAUAUUGAUGACAGUGAUGAGGCCAGCCUGUGCCCAUCCAUUCAAAGUGUCAAAGAAACUAAGCAAGAGGAGUGUUUUGUCUGUGAGCUGCAAUGCCAUGUUGGCCUACUGUUGGUUAUAAAACCGAUAAAUCCACAAUAAUCAAGAACUUCAAGAAGCAUUUCUCUAUGGCUGGCCAUGCUUUCCUUCUGGCUACCCCAACACCGGCCAACAGCUCCGCACCCCCCCGCACCCCCCACAGCUACAUGCCCAAGCCUCCCCAGCUUCUCCUUCACCCAAAUCCAGAUAGCAGAUGUUCAGAAAGAGCUGCAAAACCUGGAACCGUACAAAUCAGCUGGGCUAGACAAUCUGGACCCUCUCUUUCUAAAAUUAUCUGCCUCCAUGGUUGCAACCCCGAUUACCAGUCUGUUCAACCUCUCUUUCAUAUCGUCCGAGAUUCCUAAAGAUUGGAAAGCUGCCGCGGUCAUCCCCCUCUUCAUCCCCCUCUUCAAAGGGGGUGACACUCUAGACCCAAACUGAUACAGACCUUUAUACAUCCUGCCCUGCCUUUGUAAAGUCUUCGAAAGCCAAGUUAACAAACAGAUCAACGACCAUUUUGAAUCCCACCGUACCUUCUCCGCUGUGCAAUCCUGUUUCCUAGCUGGUCACGGGUGCACCUCAGCCACGCUCAAGGUACUAAACAAUAUCAGAACCGUCAUCGAUAAAAGACAGUACUGUGCAGCCGUCUUCAUCGACCUGGCCAAGGCUUUCGGCUUUCGUCAAUCACUGUAUUCUUAUUGGCAUACUCAACAGCCUUGGUUUCUCAAAUGACUGCCUCACGUGGUUCACCAGCUACAUCUUAGAUAGAGGGCCUGUUGUCCGGACCUCUGGCAGUCACUAUGGGGGUACCACAGGGUUUAUUCUCGGGCUGACUCUUUUCUCGGUAUAUAUCAACGAUGUCGCUCUUGCUGCGUGUGAUUCUUUGAUCCACCUCUACGCAGACGACACCAAUCUGUAUACAUCUAGCCCUUAUUUUGACACUGUGUUAACAAACCUCCAAACGAGCUUAAUGCCACACAACACCCCUUCCGUGGCCUCCAACUGCUCUGAAGCGCUAGUAAAACUAAAUGCAUGCUCUUCAACCGAUCGCUGGAUUAGCAUCACUACGCUUCGCUACUAUGGCUUAUUUAUUGCCUUACCUCCUUACGCAAUUUGCACACACUGUAUAUAGACUUUUUAUAUUGUGUUAUUGACUGUACGUUUGUUUAUUCCAUGUGUAACUCUGUGUUGUUGUUUGUGUCGCAUUGCUUUGCUUUAUCUUGGCCAGGUCGCAGUUGUAAAUGAGAACUUGUUCUCAACUGGCCUAUCUGGUUAAGGAAAGGUGAAAAAAAAGAAAUAAAAGAGAGUACAUUUUAAAGUUAGGGUUUAAUAAAUGUUAGUAGCUCUGUAAUGCAUUUCAGAUACUCACUAUAUCAUGUGUAUUUAAGAAAUCCUGACCUCACCCCUCUCGUCACACCCCCAAAAUCCUCAUGGUUCUAUAGUCAAUUCUUGUUCAGACCUCUGUCACCCUAUUCUUGAUCGAGCUGCCAGUAAAUAAAGAUGUGGCUCUCAUAUCCUGUUUCAAUAACAACGUUUCUGUAAUGGUUUCCAUGGUUGGUUUUAUUUGUGUAAGCUCUCCUCGCCCGUCUCCUAUUGACAUUCACUUAAGCCAUGUUCUGUUGACAUACACUUAAAACAUCCAUAUGUAAGUAACGAGCACUUCUUCUAAUCCAUGUUUAAAUAUUGCCUUAAAACAAUAAAUUAAAAGCACAUGAUAAUUUGAAUAAUUUGAAAGUACAUUGUUAUUUUAUAU